rnacentral:sRNA from 1 species
UGUGUUUUGACCUUUUGUAUAUUUUUUCUACCCUUUGUUAGAAUCCUAACCAAUAUGUCAGAGUCAGCACCUUAAGCUGGAACAGCGAAAACAUAGGAAUAAUAUCCACAGCAACUACAAGCCAGAAUUGGAUUCCGGCCACGGUUAACUCUCUCAAAAUGAUGGAUGAGACUGGUCUCCAAACUGGUUGACCUGCG